UCUUUGCAGUAAGAAGCUGGAUGGAGAAGCUCAAAGAUAAGGCAGGAUACAUGUCUGGCAUGCUUCUACCUGUGGCAGUUGGAAUAGCUGGAGCGCUACUCAUCCUUGGAGCUUUAUAUAGCAUUAAAGUGGUGAGCCGUAAGAGGAGGAAUGGUUUCAAAAGGAAUAAAAGAAAGAGAGAAUGCAACAGCAUGCAAGAUAGAGUAAUGCUUCUGGCCGACAGCUCAGAAGAUGAGUUUUGAUCCUGAAUGGAGUCUUCCUAUAAUAAUUUUGCAUAUUGACUGCUAUACAUUUUGUACAUAUGAUGAUAUCAGUAUAUAUAUAUAUAUAUAUAUAUAUAUAUAUAUAUAUAUAUAUAUAUAUAUAUAUAUAUAUACAUAUACCUACUUCUAUUUCCUAACAAACUAAUUUAUUCACACAAGCACACACACACACACACACACACACACACAUACACACAUAGACCCAUAUACACAAUCACACAAACUUACAUACACACUCAAGUACACAAAUAUGUAUAUACUUAUAAAAUUACACAUGGGUCUGUCUCUCACAUUAUAAAUAUACAUAUGUUUAUGUAAUUGCUAUAAAUUGAGUAUAUAGCAAUGCCAUCACAACUGUAAGAGCUGCAACAAUAGCAUGUUGAAAGUCCCAACAUCUGCUGUAUAGUGCUGUAAGAUUCAUUUCCAGUAUGUUUAGUUAUUACUGGAAAUAUAAAUAUGCAGUAAAAGCAAUCACAGAGUGCACUUUUUCUGUAUAUAUAUUUUAUGGAUGUCAUUAAAGACCUGACUUUAAGACUGUUCUAUUAUUUAUAAUCCAUGUUUGUUUUUCUGCAGUUUUUCUAGUUAUAGCAGUGAUAAUUUUAUUAGAAAUGAUUGAAACCAAUGUUUAGAGCAUAAUGCAGCUUCUAAGGCUGGUAUGCAUGAUUUUCUACAGAAUGUCUUAUUUAUUAUAUAAUUUAUGAUGUAAGAAAAAGUGCAUUAACAAAUGCAUGUACAAUACACUUGCUGCCUGAAAGAUCAACCAAACAGUUAUACUUUUCUGUAAUGUCAGCUUUCACAGAAAAUAAAGAUAAUGGUUGGAAUUCUGA